GGUUAAGUGACUAAGCGUACACGGUGGAUGCCUAGGCAGUCAGAGGCGAUGAAGGGCGUGCUAAUCUGCGAAAAGCGUCGGUAAGGUGAUAUGAACCGUUACAACCGGCGAUACCCGAAUGGGGAAACCCAGUGUGUUUCGACACACUAUCAUGUCAUGAAUACAUAGUGGCAUGAGGCGAACCGGGGGAACUGAAACAUCUAAGUACCCCGAGGAAAAGAAAUCAACCGAGAUUCCCCCAGUAGCGGCGAGCGAACGGGGAGGAGCCCAGAACCUGAAUCGGCUUGUGUGUUAGUGGAAGCGUCUGGAAAGUCGCGCAGCAAAGGGUGAUAGCCCCGUACACUAAAAUGCACAGGUCGUGAGUUCGAUGAGUAGGGCGGGACACGUGACAUCCUGUCUGAAUAUGGGGGGACCAUCCUCCAAGGCUAAAUACUCCUGACUGACCGAUAGUGAACCAGUACCGUGAGGGAAAGGCGAAAAGAACCCCGGCGAGGGGAGUGAAAUAGAACCUGAAACCGUGUACGUACAAGCAGUGGGAGCACCUUCGUGGUGUGACUGCGUACCUUUUGUAUAAUGGGUCAGCGACUUAUAUUUUGUAGCAAGGUUAACCGUAUAGGGGAGCCGUAGGGAAACCGAGUCUUAACUGGGCGAAUAGUUGCAAGGUAUAGACCCGAAACCCGGUGAUCUAGCCAUGGGCAGGUUGAAGGUUGGGUAACACUAACUGGAGGACCGAACCGACUAAUGUUGAAAAAUUAGCGGAUGACUUGUGGCUGGGGGUGAAAGGCCAAUCAAACCGGGAGAUAGCUGGUUCUCCCCGAAAGCUAUUUAGGUAGCGCCUCGUGAACUCAUCUUCGGGGGUAGAGCACUGUUUCGGCUAGGGGGCCAUCCCGGCUUACCAAACCGAUGCAAACUCCGAAUACCGAAGAAUGUUAUCACGGGAGACACACGGCGGGUGCUAACGUCCGUCGUGAAGAGGGAAACAACCCAGACCGCCAGCUAAGGUCCCAAAGUCAUGGUUAAGUGGGAAACGAUGUGGGAAGGCAUAGACAGCCAGGAUGUUGGCUUAGAAGCAGCCAUCAUUUAAAGAAAGCGUAAUAGCUCACUGGUCGAGUCGGCCUGCGCGGAAGAUGUAACGGGGCUAAACCAUGCACCGAAGCUGCGGCAGCGACG
rnacentral:rRNA from 2 species